rnacentral:rRNA from 1 species
UACGUAGGUGGCAAGCGUUGUCCGGAUUUACUGGGCGUAAAGGGAGCGUAGGCGGAUACUUAAGUGGGAUGUGAAAUACCUGGGCUUAACUUGGGUGCUGCAUUCCAAACUGGGUGUCUUGAGUGUUGAAGAGGAAAGUGGAAUUCCUAGUGUAGCGGUGAAAUGCGUAGAGAUUAGGAAGAACACCAGUGGCGAAGGCGACUUUCUGGACAAUAACUGACGCUGAGGCUCGAAAGCGUGGGGAGCAAACAGGAUUAGAUACCCUGGUAGUCCACGCCGUAAACGAUGGGUACUAGGUGUAGGAGGGAUCGACUCCUCCUGUGCCGCAGUUAACACAAUAAGUACCCCGCCUGGGGAGUACGGUCGCAAGAUUAAA